AAACGGCAAGCAUCAACUGAGGCAAGGUCAGCAAAUUUACUAUUCUUUCUGCAGACAGAUUUGAUUGAGUGGUAGCAAAAGCAUGUUUUUCUUUGUGACCCCAACUGCUUUGGUUGGUAGAGAACGAUCUGAAAGCUCGUGCUAUGCUUUUCACACGGGGAUGCUUGAACCGGCGGCAAAACCGGGCAUAUUUUGUGUAGGUAGUAGUGAAACUCCAUACCCAGUCAAAUAUGAGCAGCAGAUUGGUAAACAGAUGAAUAGUCUAAGAGAGUUAAAUUAAAAGAAAGAAUAAUAUAUAGAAAAUUCCAUCACUUGAUGCCUCCCUUGUAGAUAGAAUUAUAUGACUAGUUAGUAGCUAGAAUCAAUUCACAUAUGCGAAAGGAGCUCCAUCUGGAGAUGCAGUUAGGUAUGGAAUUUGACUUUUUAUUGCUUGGUUACAUUACUCGAGUUAUUCGCUGUUUGUCAUCUGUGUCCUCGAUCAUCUCCUCAAUAGAUGCCUAUAUAUCUUCUGAGACAUUGAACUUGUAUUAUGAUGAACCCGUUCAUAUAGAACAGAAGGAUUUAACUUAUGAUUUAUUCCCGUAUACACCAUCAAUUUGCUCCCUUAAGUGUAACCCUAGCUCCCUCCUAAGUAAUCUUCAUAUAUAGUAAUAAAAUU
rnacentral:lncRNA from 1 species